rfam:Pediculus humanus corporis strain TSDA 1103172094920, whole genome shotgun sequence.
CAAACGGCCCUUUUAAGGGCCACAAAACAGAAAACACGUUCAUA